rnacentral:RNase_P_RNA from 1 species
AAGGCAUAGCAGGUGGUUGCUCUAUAAAAUCUUUAAGAGAGGAAAGUCCGAGCUGCGGAGACAAGAUUCCAUUUAACAAAUGGCUGGCGUGAGCCAAGGGAAAGUGCAACAGAAAAUAAACCGCCUAUUGAGUAUCGAUCCAAAGAUAUUUUAUGGCAAGGGUGAAAAGGUGGGGUAAGAGCCCACCGAGAUCUGAGUAAUCAGGUCUGCUUGUGUAAACCCAAUCAGCAGCAAGAAGAGCAAGGUUAAAGUCUCAUUUUAGCUCUUCGCUUGAGGUGUGUUGUGAAACAUAUCCCAGAUAAAUAACCAUCCCAGACAGAACUCGGCUUAUCGCUAUGCCUAUGGC